rnacentral:misc_RNA from 1 species
CUGAGUUCGAUUCUCGGAUCUCCCC